rnacentral:lncRNA from 1 species
GAUGAACACAAAAGGGCAGGAGCACUGUCGGAGGAAUUCCUUCUCACCCAAAAAGAAGAGUUCCUUCGACAACACAGGCAGUCAAAUAACACUCUCCAGGAGCAAGAACGUGAGGAUGCUGUUUUUGUAACGGUAUUUUGGUCUCAUGCACAGGCGCUACAUCUGCUGUUGGCUAUGACGAAUGGAUGGAAAUUGCAAGAUGUUAAGGCGCUCCGCCCCUCAAAGGAUAUCUCACGCAAAGUACACAAAAUAGUCCAGUACGAAGCCAGUCAACAGCAAACGGGCUACACGUAGAUCAAGAUGGUCCAACUUUGUGACAAUAAUAAUAAUGAUGACCCUUG